rnacentral:rRNA from 1 species
GAUGAACGCUGACAGAAUGCUUAACACAUGCAAGUCAACUUGAACUUCGGUUUGGGUGGCGGACGGGUGAGUAACGCGUAAAGAACUUGCCUCACAGAUAGGGACAACAUUUGGAAACGAAUGCUAAUACCUGAUAUUAUGAUUUUAGGGCAUCCUAGAAUUAUGAAAGCUAUAUGCGCUGUGAGAGAGCUUUGCGUCCCAUUAGCUAGUUGGAGAGGUAACGGCUCACCAAGGCGAUGAUGGGUAGCCGGCCUGAGAGGGUGAUCGGCCACAAGGGGACUGAGACACGGUCCAAACUCCUACGGGAGGCAGCAGUGGGGAAUAUUGCACAAUGGGCGAAAGCCUGAUGCAGCAACGCCGCGUGAACGAUGAAGGUCUUCGGAUCGUAAAGUUCUGUUGCAGGGGAAGAUAAUGACGGUACCCUGUGAGGAAGCCCCGGCUAACUACGUGCCACCAGCCGCGGUAAUACGUAGGGGGCUAGCGUUAUCCGGAUUUACUGUGCGUAAAGGGUGCGUAGGUGGUCCUUCAAGUCGGUGGUUAAAGGCUACGGCUCAACCGUAGUAAGCCGCCGAAACUGGAGGACUUGAGUGCAGGAGAGGAAAGUGUGAAUUCCCAGUGUGGCGGUGAAAUGCGUAGAUAUUGGGAGGAACACCAGUAGCGAAGGCGGCUUUCUGGACUGCAACUGACACUGAGGCACGAAAGCGUGGGUAGCAAACAGGAUAAGAUACCCUAGUAGUCUAAAGGCGAAUUCCACAUUGGGCUGCAGCCCGGGGGAUCCACUAGUUCUAGAGCGGCCGCACCGCGGGAGCUCCAAUUCGCCCUAUAGUGAGUCGUAUUACGCGCGCUCACUGGCGUGGUUUUACCAAGUUUCAAGCCAGGAAAUGCUGGGGCUUGCCCCUUCCAGUGAUGGGGCGUGCCUCCUUUCUCUCUUUGGCAGGUUGCGAAGAGGCAUGCAGCCCUUCACUUUUUGACAUUUGUAUUAUGUGACAUACAGAGUCAUCCUGAUGCUCUAGAUCAUAAAUCGAACUUCUCA